rnacentral:rRNA from 1 species
AGUGAACGCUGGCGGUAGGCCUAACACAUGCAAGUCGAACGGCAGCACAGGAGAGCUUGCUCUCUAGGUGGCGAGUGGCGGACGGGUGAGGAAUACAUCGGAAUCUGCCCAGUCGUGGGGGAUAACGUAGGGAAACUUACGCUAAUACCGCAUACGACCUUCGGGUGAAAGAGGGGGAUCGCAAGACCUCUCGCGAUUGGAUGAGCCGAUGUCGGAUUAGCUAGUUAGCGGGGUAAUGGCCCACCAAGGCGACGAUCCGUAGCUGGUCUGAGAGGAUGAUCAGCCACACUGGAACUGGGACACGGUCCAGACUCCUACGGGAGGCAGCAGUGGGGAAUAUUGGACAAUGGGCGCAAGCCUGAUCCAGCCAUACCGCGUGGGUGAAGAAGGCCUUCGGGUUGUAAAGCCCUUUUGUUGGGAAAGAAAUCUUUCAGGCUAAUACCCUGGGAGGAUGACGGUACCCAAAGAAUAAGCACCGGCUAACUUCGUG